AGGGUUUGAUUAUGGCUCAGGACGAACGCUGGCGGCGUGCUUAACACAUGCAAGUCGAACGAAGAGCGAUGGAAGCUUGCUUCUAUCAAUCUUAGUGGCGAACGGGUGAGUAACGCGUAAUCAACCUGCCCUUCAGAGGGGGACAACAGUUGGAAACGACUGCUAAUACCGCAUACGAUCUAAUCUCGGCAUCGAGGAUAGAUGAAAGGUGGCCUCUACAUGUAAGCUAUCACUGAAGGAGGGGAUUGCGUCUGAUUAGCUAGUUGGAGGGGUAACGGCCCACCAAGGCGAUGAUCAGUAGCCGGUCUGAGAGGAUGAACGGCCACAUUGGGACUGAGACACGGCCCAG
rnacentral:rRNA from 1 species